UACGUAGGGUGCGAGCGUUGUCCGGAAUUAUUGGGCGUAAAGAGCUCGUAGGCGGUCUGUCGCGUCGAUCGUGAAAACUUGGGGCUUAACCCUGAGCUUGCGGUCGAUACGGGCAUGACUGGAGUUCGGCAGGGGAGACUGGAAUUCCUGGUGUAGCGGUGAAAUGCGCAGAUAUCAGGAGGAACACCGAUGGCGAAGGCAGGUCUCUGGGCCAUAACUGACGCUGAGAAGCGAAAGCAUGGGGAGCGAACAGG
rnacentral:rRNA from 1 species